GAUGAACGCUGGCGGCGUGCCUAAUACAUGCAAGUCGAGCGAACAGAUAAGGAGCUUGCUCCUUUGACGUUAGCGGCGGACGGGUGAGUAACACGUGGGUAACCUACCUAUAAGACUGGAAUAACUCCGGGAAACCGGGGCUAAUGCCGGAUAACAUUUAGAACCGCAUGGUUCUAAAGUGAAAGAUGGUUUUGCUAUCACUUAUAGAUGGACCCGCGCCGUAUUAGCUAGUUGGUAAGGUAACGGCUUACCAAGGCAACGAUACGUAGCCGACCUGAGAGGGUGAUCGGCCACACUGGAACUGAGACACGGUCCAGACUCCUACGGGAGGCAGCAGUAGGGAAUCUUCCGCAAUGGGCGAAAGCCUGACGGAGCAACGCCGCGUGAGUGAUGAAGGUCUUCGGAUCGUAAAACUCUGUUAUCAGGGAAGAACAAAUGUGUAAGUAACUGUGCACGUCUUGACGGUACCUAAUCAGAAAGCCACGGCUAACUACGUG
rnacentral:rRNA from 1 species